rnacentral:lncRNA from 1 species
GUGGGGAGGAGUAAAUGUGUGGCGGCGGAGGAGAGUAGAAAUGGGGCGGUGGCGGUGGUGGUGAGUGGACAGGAGGCGGAGGCGGUGGUGGAGGCGGCGGUGAAUAGACUGGAGGUGGCGGCGGUGGGGGAGGUGGUGGCGGAGGUGGGGAGUAAACUGGCGGCGGGGGUGGCGGUGGUGGCGGUGGUGGGGAGUAAACUGGUGGAGGAGGAGGCGGCGAUUGGACCGGAGGUGGCGAUGGUGGAUGGACU